rnacentral:rRNA from 1 species
AACGAACGCUGGCGGCAUGCCUAACACAUGCAAGUCGAACGGGACCUCCGUGUGUGCUUGCUCACGGGGGCGUAGCGCGGCGGAAGGGGCCGGUAUGUACGGAAAAACUCCUCUUAGUGGGGGCUAAUACCGGGUAAUGUCUUCUAACCAAAGAUUUAUCCCCUUUGGAUGGGCAGGGGUUGUUUUAGCCUGGUGCGAUGGUAAAAGCCGACGAAGGCUACGCUCGCUAGCUGGUAUGAGAGGAUGAGCAGCCACACUGGGACUGAGACACGGCCCAGAAUCUUACGGGAGGCAGCAGUGGGGAAUAUUGGCAAAUGGGCGAAAGCCUGAUCCAGCAAUGCCGCGUGAGUGAUGAAGGCCUUAGGGUUGUAAAGCUCUUUUAUCCGGGAUGAUAAUGACAGUACCGGGAGAAUAAGCUCCGGCUAACUCCGUG